CUUACACAGAGACGCUUGCUGCUUGGUGCCUGUAGAGGGAGCUGCAGUGACAGCGCAGCACACAGCUCCUCUCAGGAGGUACUGUACGUGUAUGUGAGUUGUGAGGUGAAAGAGAAAAAGGCUGGUGAGGGUACUGAGUAGGCAGUGGAUGUGUCCAAUACACUCAUGGAAUCCAGUGUGAUGGCAUGUGGCCUCCAUUAGCAAGGAUCGACUCAUAAUCCACCGCUAUUAUGGACAACAGACAGAGGGGUCAUGUAGGAAGCAGACCAGAUGGAUGAAGAGAGCAAAUGCCAUUUCUUAACUUCUAGUCAUUCACAUAUUUCUUACAAUAGACAUUC